AAAAACAUAAUAGUUACAACUUUCAACAACGGAUCUCUUGGUUCUGGCAUCGAUGAAGAACGCAGCGAAAUGCGAUAAGUAGUGUGAAUUGCAGAAUUCAGUGAAUCAUCGAAUCUUUGAACGCACAUUGCGCCCCUUGGUAUUCCAUGGGGCAUGCCUGUUCGAGCGUCAUUUGUACCUUCAAGCUCUGCUUGGUGUUGGGUGUUUGUCUCGCCUUUGCGUGUAGACUCGCCUUAAAACAAUUGGCAGCCGGCGUAUUGAUUUCGGAGCGCAGUACAUCUCGCGCUUUGCACUCAUAACGACGACGUCCAAAAAGUACUUUUUACACUCUUGACCUCGGAUCAGGUAGGGAUACCCGCUGAACUUAAGCAUAUCAAUAAGCGGAGGA
rnacentral:rRNA from 1 species